UUGGCUCAUGCACUCGAAUCAAUCAAUAGUUCACAAUGUGGAACUGGUGCAAGUGUAGUCUCUGGGAAGAUGAGUUGCAAUAAAGACCAUAUGUACAAUGAACCAAAUUAAGUGAGGGCAAAAAGUUGUGGCAAAAGACUUAAAGGAGGGAAAGAAAGGGCAUUAGGAAAGGCAAAGAACUCAAAAGGUAAACGUUGUCAUGGUUGUAGGAAAGUUGGACAAUCACAUGACAAAAGGAAUUGUCCAAUAGUUGCACAUCGAUAAGUAAUAUUUAAGUAAUAGUAAACAAAUUUAGAUAUCUCAAUCUUUAAAUGAUGUGUUAUUUUGGCUUUUAGGUAGAGAUUCUCCCAACAAUGAAGGUGCAACAUCAUCUUCAAGUUCAGAGGAUGAUAGUCAUACAAUCCAAGGUU
rnacentral:lncRNA from 1 species